AAAUGGGAAGCAUUCCGCGGAAGAACAGUACUGUAAAUGUGAAUUCCAAAAUCCAUUACUUGUGUUAGGUAGGAAUAGGUAAUAGGUACCAAUACUUAUAGAGUUGUAGAUAUUGCGUAAUGUAUGAGGUAUGACAUUCAAUACACCCCUAUAUGAAAAUAAAUAUGAUAACGUACAAUUAUUUGUAUGGAUUAAAAAUGUCUACCUAUAGUUAUAAUAUAGAAUUAUUAGAUGAGUAAAUACCAACCUAUUUAUACAUUAUCUACAUACUUAGUAUUUUACUUUCUAUCUCAUUUAUAAUAUUAUGUUACACCUAUAAUAACUUUUGAUAUCAGUUCAAUAAUUUUUCUUGUAUUUAAUAAUUUCUAAAUAUAUCCAGCCUACUAUUUUUCAAUUUCUGUCAUAUUCCUAUAACUAUUUGUUUAAAAACUUAAAAUAUUAUUAAUUGGUACAUUUGUUACCAAUAGUGUGACAAGAGAACUGCAUUAAUAUUUAUUAAAGUAGCUAGGAUAUCUGACUACCUAAUUUGUUAGAAAUUAAUUUAAAAAGCUUAUUAUUAUUCAAAAUAUUGUCAAUAAAAUAAUCGUUGUAUAAUUUUACCCCCCCCCCUUCCUAAAAAAAUCUGAGGUAGAAAGUUAAGUAAGAGACCUAUAUACUACUUAGGUAGGUAUUUUAGUGUACCUACUCAUAAUUUGGUGUUGUCUUAUAAUAUGAAAAUUUAGCAUAAUGCAUACCUAAAUUCAUAAUAAUGAAAAUAAUAUUGCAGUAUUUUUAAAUUACAUAUAUGUUUUUUAGGUAAAUCGUUUGAUCAAAUAUAUAUGUUGAAAAUGUGUGAAAUGAGAGUGAUCAGUCACGCGAAUGUUAAGAAACGCGUAAUGUUCACGUGGACAGGUUCGAGCAUCUGUACGAAUAUCUGUAAAAAGUGUGUAACCAACAUAAAACAACAGAACGAGCCUAGAAAUUUAAAAGUUGCCUUGUUAGAAAGUUAUUGUGAUAUCGUCGACAAGGAAAUUACAGAUAUAACAAAUUUGGCAAACCAAUGUGUCUGCGUUUAUCGCAUUCAAUGUUAUGCAUGGCAAACGGUUAUCCUAUAUAAGAUUCAAGCAAAUGACGAGGGUUUGGUCAAAAUUCAAUCCAAUUAAUUCAGCCUAUCCAAUCCCAUUGAUAUUUCAUAUUUUUAAAUAGAAACAAUUUCUGUAAACAUAUUUAAUAUUUAAGUUUGGAUGCAUUUUUUAAUUACCUACU